GACGUAGGGCGCGAGCGUUGUCCGGAUUUAUUGGGCGUAAAGAGCUCGUAGGCGGCUCGUUGCGUCGGCUGUGAAAACCCGCAGCUCAACUGUGGGCUUGCAGCCGAUACGGGCGGGCUGGGAUUCGGUAGGGGAGACUGGAAUUCCUGGUGUAGCGGUGAAAUGCGCAGAUAUCAGGAGGAACACCGGUGGCGAAGGCGGGUCUCUGGGCCGAUAUCGACGCUGAGAAGCGAAAGCGUGGGGAGCGAACAGG
rnacentral:rRNA from 1 species